GGGCUGGUGCUCUCGUUCAGAUAGAUUUAGCUGGUGGUGCAGAGAUCCGUGAGCUUGCUUUUACAGGACUUUAAUGAUAUAUAAAAGCAGCACGAGGUGCUCCUGACUGUGGAUUAAUUUGGAGAUGACUUUCUCUGUUGAAGAGUAGCAAGACUCUCGCGAGUUCUUAAAAAUGCACUUGUUUGGUAUGAGAAUGAAAAGCAGUGGCUGAAGAACCAAUCUUCAAUGGGCAAGCCUUCUCUGUGUCUGUUCUAACACGUGCCAUUUGGGAUCCCUUGGAAUCUUCAUGUACAGAACUGGUUGCUGCCUCGUUGAGUCGGUGGGGACAGAAUAGCUCCUGGUUGACAGCAUGGGUUGUGCAGAAGGACGGAUCCUGCAGACAUCAAUAUCUGGCUUUGAGUGGCACAAAGAAAUAAAGGAAUGUGGAUUCAGACCUCACUGGGAUGCUUGGCAAUUCUAAUUCUACCCCAGACUGCAAAUGGACACACAACUGUUGUGACUUUUGUUGAAGAGGAGAAGGAUGGCACAGAAGCUGGAUUCAGAAGCACACAGGUCUGGGGAUGCAGGCUUCGGCCAGCCUGAUGCAAGGAAAGACUGCCAUCUCGUGGUCAGCUCAAUCCUGGCACCUUGGUGAGGGACCAGGCUGCAGAAAACCAGGCUUGGGGAGGAAACGGUGCUGCAAACUGGAUUUCUGCCGGACAGUGUGGAUGCCCUUAGAAAACACCCAGAAAAGAGCUGAGUGCCCCCCAAGGCUGUUUCCCAUAUAAGGUUCAUGACCCCCAGUGAGGAUGAAACUGCCUGCAAGGUUUGUCUUCUCUCCUGUUCACUGGUUACUCAGCCAGGCUGAUUCAUGGGCUUCUCAAAGGAGCUUGUUUAUCAGAAGCUUGUCUAAGACACCACGUCUUCCAGAAAAUCUCACCUGAGUCACCAACAGAUUCCUCUAAGAGUCUGUAAGCCACUCCUGACCAGCAGGAAACCCCAACAGAGGCAAAGAAUAGGAAAUUAAAUAUUUCGUCAAGAAAAAAUGAGAGGCUGGGUGCGGUGGCUCAUGCCUAUAUCCCAGCACUUUAGGAGGCCUAAGCGGGCGGAUCAUUUGAGGUCAGGAGUUUGAGACCAGCCCGGCCAACAUGGUGAAACCCUGUCUCUACUAAAAAUACAA
rnacentral:lncRNA from 1 species